ACAUCGCAUGAAAAUAUAAAAAUAAAGUCGUGCAGUUGUUUUUGAUAUGCAGAAGCACAACUCUUUCCAGUGUGCAGAAAGAGAGAGGAGUCCUAUGAAGUUCACAGGGGUGGGAUUAUCGCCCUCCAAGCAAAACAAAAAAUGUAAUGAUGUGCUGGUAAAUGGCAGGACCAUUUAGUUGCAGUUGUUCAAAGAUUGAACUUUGCAUUUGAAGACAACCUGUGCUUGAGUAGUCCAAUGAAGAGUCUUGCAGAAAUAAUGCAGGAUUUAAGAGAGUAUCAGAGAGUGUCUGUGAAAGUGAAAAUUCUGCGUGCCUUGGAUAACAAGCAGUCUGUGGUUCGGGGGCAGAAAGUGCGACGGCAGAGCAUUGUUGUUGCAGACAAAGAACACCUAAUGUCACUCACUGUUUGGGGACAGCAUGAUGUGGAUGUGGGUGUGUGGUAUCGUUUGGACAACAUAUCUGUAAGGAAAUUCAGUGCAAUGCCAACACUGAGUACUACGAUGCAAACCACUAUGUGUAAAAUAGACAAUUGUGGGCCAGCAAUUUUUUAGAUGAUGACUUGAAAAUAGUGGUGGGAGACAUUGUCAAGUAAGUGAUGCUUGGGACAAAAACUCUCGAUUUUCACUUCAGCACGCAUAAUGUAAAUUCCAGCACUUUAAUGACACAGUGUAGCCAAUGCCAGGCAUUUUGCAAGACAGCAAAGACAAUAAUUAAAGUCCGAGGCCAUGUAAGCAUAGAGGUUGACACUGUCCAACAAAAGUUUUUCCUUGAUGAUGCUCAGUUUCAUGAUUUAUUGAAUUUGGAGGGCGUAAGGAGUUUGUCUUCUGAUAGUGUGGCUGCAGACAUCUUGUUUCAUGACAAAAUCAGUGUAAAAUUGUGGAGAGAAUAUGUGAUGCAGGUGUGUUUUCAUGACUCAUAUGAUGGUAGCACUAGUGGGUGCUCUGGUGCUAUGCAGUCAACAAGUGUUAGCGACUCAGAGUUGCGUUUUGAAACUGAAGGAGAAGAAACUGAGUAAAAUUUACUUGAGUAAGCUUUUUAUUUUUUUAGUAUUUAUUUUUUGUAGUCCUAGUGUUUACAGAGAUACUGCAUUUGCAGAUACAACUUUGUUUGUGUAAAGUGACAUUCAUGUGUAGGGUAAAUGCAGAUCAAGGGAUGCUGUACCUUUUUAUAUAUAUUUUUAUAUAUAUUGUUUUUUAUAUUGUGUAAUAGUAUUUUACAGAAGUAAUGUGUACCCUAAAGUUUGUACUGUGAAUGUGUAACCUAAAGUGAACAUAAUUGCAAACUGAUUGGCAAAUGUACAUUAGCAAUGGUCAAGUUUUUAGAUUUCUUUAAGUGUGUAUUGAGUUUUUUCACAAUGGUUUGCACUGUAAUUACCAAAUGUACACUUACAAUGGUACAAUGUUGGUUUCAUUUAGUGUGUGUGUUGUGAGUGUUUUUAUUACAAUGAAUGUGGUGUCAUCGUGAUUGCCAAAUGUACAUUUGCCAUUUUUAUUCAUUGUAUUUGAGUGUGUUAUGGCAAUUAUUGUUUGCAGAACGAUUUUCAGCUAAACAUUUGCAGUAAUAAAAUUUAAUUCGGUGUA